GUCAACUUUGUAGUGUGCCAACUCUUUGCCUUGCUAGCAGCCAUUUGGUUUCGAACUUAUCUACAUUCAAGCAAAACUAGCUCUUUUAUAAGACAUGUAGUUGCUACCCUUUUGGGCCUUUAUCUUGCACUUUUUUGCUUUGGAUGGUAUGCCUUACACUUUCUUGUACAAAGUGGAAUUUCCUACUGUAUCAUGAUCAUCAUAGGAGUGGAGAACAUGCACAAUUACUGCUUUGUGUUUGCUCUGGGAUACCUCACAGUGUGCCAAGUUACUCGAGUCUAUAUCUUUGACUAUGGACAAUAUUCUGCUGAUUUUUCAGGGUCCUUGGGCUAGGUCAGUCUGAGUUUCCUAGAGAAGGCGCUCAAGAGUGCGUUUUACUUCUAUGCAUUUCACCUAUUUUCAGUGUUCUCCAUUCAACACCAGUAUUCAGUUGAGUAGUGGAAAUAAUUUCUGGCAUUUGUUCCUUCAAAGGGGAUGUAUUUUCUUCCUGGUACUAGAUGAAUCUUUUUGUCCUGUAACAAAACUGAUUAUAUGUCUGUUGUGAAAUAAA
rnacentral:lncRNA from 1 species